rnacentral:tRNA from 1 species
GGGACGUUAGCUCAGUUGGGAGAGCGCCGUGUUCACACCGCGGAGGUCACUGGUUCGAGCCCAGUACGUCCCACCA